AGGUAUCCUACAGAUAGGCAAUAGGUAAAAACCGGCACUCGAAGGGGAUCUGUCCAUUCAAUACUUUAUUUUGAAAAAGGCAUAAAAGCAGCAAACUAACAAAUGCUUA